rnacentral:rRNA from 1 species
CCUAGUACGAGAGGACCGGAGUGGACGCAUCACUGGUGUUCGGGUUGUCAUGCCAAUGGCACUGCCCGGUAGCUAAAUGCGGAAGAGAUAAGUGCUGAAAGCAUCUAAGCACGAAACUUGCCCCGAGAUGAGUUCUCCCUGAGACUUAGAGUCUCCUGAAGGAACGUUGAAGACGACGACGUUGAUAGGCCGGGUGUGUAAGCGCAGCGAUGCGUUGAGCUAACCGGUACUAAUGAACCGUGAGGCUUAACCUUACAACGCCGAAGCUGUU